GAUCCGGGAGUAUAUCUCCGAGCUCCAACGAAUUUUUAGAUUUUAAUUCGGCAAAUCGUGUUAUAUUCGUUCGGCAAUCAAUUAUUUAGUUGUAACUAGUGUGUUUAAUGUUUUAUUAAUGAUUAAUCGCGCGUUAAAUGUUCACAAACGCUAGUUAUUUGUUCGCGUUGUUGUGCGAAUCGUGAUUCCCAAAAUGGCUGUGUUUGUAACAUCCUGCAGUCUCAAGUGCCAUCGCUGUAUGCUCCGCACCCACAGCAAAUUAUGGGUUGUUCGCUCGCCGAAUGAAUCGCACAUUUCUGGUGGUUUGCAUUAUUAAGUGAGAUGCACUUCGGCUUGGAUUGCAAUUUUUUAUUUGGUACAUCUUAUGCCCUGGGAUUCAAUAGACUAUUCAUUGUUACAGCUCUCGAUGUGCCUGGCAGUCCGAUAAGUACCCUGGUAAGUUCUUAAUUCAAUUAUAUUUUUAGGUGAAAGUAGUUAAUAUGCCGUAGUACUCGUUGCGUUAGGUAUUGUAGUUUUUUUGCCAUAACACACGAACGCAGUGUUACAAUUAGUUCGAAAUCAUUUGCUCUGAUGCGGAAUUUAAUUCUGUAUCUCCCUGUAUAGAAAUUUAUUGCAAGAAAAUUCCGUAACGCGAGUUAUAUUGAAAGUUGUGUGUGUGCGCCGUAGUACUCGUUGCCUUAGGAAUUGUAGUUUUUUUUUGUUAUAACACACGAACGCGGUAUCACAAUAAGUUCGAAAUCAUUUUCCCUGAUGCGGAAUUUAAUUCUGUAUCUCCCUGUAUUGAAAUUUAUUGCAAGAAAAUUCCGUAACGCGAGUUAUAUUGAAAGUUGUGUGUGUACGCCCUAGUUCUCGUUGCGCUAGGAAUUGUAGUUUUUUUGUUAUAACACACGAACGCGGUAUCACAAUAAGUUCGAAAUCAUUUUCCCUGAUGCGGAAUUUAAUUCUGUAUCUCCCUGUAUUGAAAUUUAUUGCAAGAAAAUUCCGUGACGCGAGUUAUAUUGAAAGUUGUGUGUGCGUCGUAGUUCUCGUUGCGCUAGGAAUUGUAGUUUUUUUUGUUAUAACACAUGAACGCGGUGUCUCAAUAAGUUCGAAAUCAUUUUUCCUGAUGCGGAAUUUAAUUCUGUAUCUCCCUGUAUUGAAAUUUAUUGCCAGAAAAUUCCGUAACGCGAGUUAUAUUGAAAGUUGUGUGUGUGCGCCGUAGUUCUCGUUGCGCUAGGAAUUGUAGUUGUUUUGAUAUAACACACGAACGCGGUAUCACAAUAAGUUCGAAAUCAUUUUGCCUGAUGCGGAAUUUAAUUCUGUAUCUCCCUGUAUUGAAAUUUAUUGCAAGAAAAAUCCGUAACGCGAGUUAUAUUGAAAGUUGUGUGUGUGCGCCGUAGUUCUCGUUGCGCUAGGAAUUGUAGUUUUUUUUUGUUAUAACACACGAACGCGGUGUCACAAUAAGUUUGAAAUCAUUUUCCCGGAUGCGGAAUUUGAUUCUGUAUCUCCCUGUAUAGAAAUUUAUUGCCAGAAAAUUUCGUGACGCGAGUUAUAUUGAAAGUUUUGUGUGUAUAUUAAGAAUUUGAAAUCCGUUCUUGUCGUUGCGGUAGAAGUGACUCGUGUUCAGGGCCCCGUACGAUGGUAGCGGUAGAAAUUACUCGUGUUCAGGGCACGGUACGAAGGUAGCGGUAGAAGUGACUCGUGUUCAGGGCACCUUACGAAGGUAGCGGAAGUGAGUCGUGUUCAUAAAAUAUAAAAUAUAAAUUGUACUAUUUGGAAUGAAAAAAACUGGGAUAAAAAGGCCGUACCGUCUCUUGUAUUUUUUUGUUAUGAAUUAUUUUCACUUCUUAUUUUUCCGAUUCUAAUACUUUCGAUUUUAAUACUUUAUUUUAUAGAGAAUAUUUAAAUUAGUCGCGAUGUUGUGAACAUCAAUAAUUUAAUUAACUAACGUAUACAGUAAACUUAUACAAAGACACUUAGAAGACAAUAAAUUAUUUAUUUGUAUUGGUAAAUUACAAAUUCCUGUUUUUCCCCAUCCUUAUUGCAUUCCAAAACCAAUAUAUAAGUAAGUAAAAGUAGUUUCGUGUAUGUGUGUUACUUCUAUAUUGUGAAUUUUUACUUUCGUCUUCUCAAGUACGUGUUUACUACUACGUUUGUUUAUAAACAACUUUUUUGUUGGACUGAAGUGUAUUAUCGCGACGUACCUGCCUUGUACCUGGCAAUGCGCAGCGCACACGGCAGUCGUUUCACCGCAUGGUCCGCGAGCGCGUCUCACUACUAGCCACGCGUUUUCAGACUUCAAUUAUUCAAUUAAUCGUCGUGUAUUCUUUUCGCCAUCAGCAUAAUAUUCGUAACGAGCAUGUGUGGCUGUUUUGUUUGAUGAGUUGUGGCGGUUAGAGUGUUCUUAAGUCACAAAUAAGUGUCUGUUAA